AUUGAACGCUGGCGGCAUGCUUUACACAUGCGAGUCUAACGGUAACAGGCCUUCGGGUGCUGUCGAGUGUCUUACGGGUUAGUAAUGCAUCGGAACGUACCCAGAGGUGGGGGUUAACGCAGCGAAAGCUGUGCUAAUACCGCAUGUGAUCUGAGGUUGAAAGCGGUGGACCGAGCAGCAAUGUUUGGCCUCGCGCCUUUGGAGCGGCCGAUGUCGGAUUAGCUAGUUGGUGGGGUAAAGGCCUACCAAGGCGACGAUCCGUAGCUGGUCUGAUGGGAAGACCAGCCACACUGGGAGUGAGACACGGACCAGACUCCUACGGGAAGCAGCAGUGGGGAAUUUUGGAGAAUGGGCGCAAGCCUGAUCCAGCCAUGCCGCGUGAGAGAAGAAGGCCUUCGGGUUGUGAACCGCUUUUGGCAGGAACGAAACGGUGUCAGCUAAUGCCGGGCGCUAAUGACGGUACCUGCAGAAUAAGCACCGGCUAACUACGUG
rnacentral:rRNA from 1 species